rnacentral:rRNA from 1 species
GAUCAUGACUCAGGACGAACGCUGGCGGCGUGCUUAACACAUGCAAGUCGAACGAGAAUCUGCUGAAGGAGGAUUCGUCCAACGGAAGUAGAGGAAAGUGGCGGACGGGUGAGUAACGCGUGAGGAACCUGCCUUGAAGAGGGGGGACAACAGUUGGAAACGACUGCUAAUACCGCAUGAAGCAUAGGGGUCGCAUGAUCUUUAUGCCAAAGAUUUAUCGCUUCAAGAUGGCCUCGCG